UGUCCCUUGGACACGCAAUAUAUUUUAUUACUUUUAUAAAUUGUAGUUCCUUCUACAUGCCAUGAUUAAUCUUGUAUUCCAUGCGAAAUGUUUAUAUUUCCAACUUGAAAAGUGUCAACCUAAAAGUCGCAUUUCUAGUGGCUUUUUUUGAAUAAAAGGUUUGGUGCUUUUAUUCAUUGAAAGCCAAAUAAAAUAGCUCACACCUGCUGUUCUUUUGGUCGCUAUAACUCAUUCAUUGAAGACUUUAGAUUAAAUAUGUGGCGUUCUACGGGCUUAACUUCUUCAAAAGACUAUAAGAAUCGUGACGACAUCAAAUACAGGCAUUCACCACCACACGGAGGAGGGGUACAAAUCUCCAAUCGUCUCCUGCAAAUCAUAGUUGGGUGUCUUGUCUUUGGUGUUUUGCUUCUGUUUAUCAAUNUGCUACAGCUUAGAAAUCUAAAUCAUAGGAGUUUUGACGAUGGUGCUGCGGUGCAAAAACCAUUGGCCUUAAUUUGUGGUAAAGAUAUUCAUACAGGAUACCUUAACCAUGUUUUUAAUGUCUUCCGACAAGUUGGUUAUGUAACCACAGAGACAGUCAACAACCAAUGGGAUGUGUUGUGGUCUCAUGAGUAUCCCUUUACAUUAGACGAAUUGAAAGAUCAACUUCACCAGCUUCAGGCCUACCAAAAGGUGAAUCAUUUCCCAGGAUCUGGAUUUAUCUGUAACAAAGCUAGUCUGGCUGUCUCUCGUUUUCCAUUUCACCCUGUGGCUUUUGAGAUUCCCAAGAGCAAAGAUAAGUUUCUAAAGGAGGUGAAGACGUUUCCUCAUAAACUGUGGGUGGAGAAAAGUAACGGCCACAGGGGAAUCAGGAUUAAAUCACCAUCAGAAAUUAAAUUGGACGGUACAUCUAGUGAUACAUUUGUAGAGGAGUUUAUUUCUAAUCCAUACCUUAUUGAUGGAAGAAAGUUUGACAUUGGUAUCUAUGUUGUUUUAACUUCCAUCAACCCGCUCAGGGUCUACAUCUUUGAAGAUGAAGUAUUAAUCAGGUUUUGUGUCAAAGAUUAUCUACCCCUCGACGUUAAAGACGAGAAGCAGUAUGUGGUUGGUGACGAGUACACACAACCCUGGGAGUUGCCGUCCCUCGCAGCCCUCUGGAAACAUGGCAAGUUUUCUCGUAAGCAUACGAUACUAACUCACUUGAAGAAAGAAGGUAAAGAUGCUGAUAAAGUUUGGCGGGAUAUGCAUGAUGCUAUCAAAGAGGUUUACGUCAAGAAAGAAGUUGAUCUGAUCUCCUCCUCUUCAACUUAUGGUAGUUCAAGGAACUUCUUUGAAUUGGUUCGUUUUGAUUUUAUUCUGGAUGAAAAUAUGAACGUCUGGUUAAUGGAGGUUAACAUGUCACCCAAUCUGUCUUCUGGCUCUCAUUCUGACAACGCUCUUAUGUAUGAACAGGUCAUAUUUAAUCUUUUUGGACUAGUUGGAGUGAGCAACAGAUUAGCACACAGUACCAGAUCCAGUCAUGCCAGACUUGUCAUCAGUGCCUGACUGUAGAACAGCGGUCUUUCCUCAAAGCGGCUUAUUAUGAACACGUCAACAGAGGAGGCUAUCGCCGCGUGUUCCCGCCACCAACGAACAAAGAAGAAACUCGUAGCCAAAACUCCGACCAUCUAAGUUCGUCAAAUCAACUAAUGGAUCUCUGGUUCAAACAAAAAUGUCUACAGCAUUCUUCGUGGUGUCAAUAACUGGUAUUCC
rnacentral:misc_RNA from 1 species